GCAGACACAUUCUAGCCAAUCAGCAGCAGACCCUCCCUCCCAGACCCUCCCACCUCCUGGACAGCAUCCAUUUUACAUUCAUUGUGAAGCUGCAUUCUUAGUGAGCUGUCCAGGAGGUGGGAGGGUCUGGGAGGGAGGGUCUGCUGCUGAUUGGCUGAAUGUGUCUG
rnacentral:miRNA from 1 species